rfam:Oryza sativa Japonica Group DNA, chromosome 4, cultivar: Nipponbare, complete sequence.
AAAAAGACAAACCAUGGGUUCCCGUGUCAACGUUUGACUGUCCGUCUUAUAUGAAAAUUUUUUAUAAUUAGUAUUUUCAUUGUUGUUAGAUGAUAAAAUAUGAUUAAUACUUUAUACAUGACUUAUCUUUUUAAUUUUUUUUAUAAUUUUUUUAAAUAAGACGAACGGUCAAACGUUGGACACGGAAACCAGGGUUUGUCUUUUU